rnacentral:SRP_RNA from 1 species
AGAAGCUUCGCAAGACGCUUCAGGCCCACGCGACGGAGACGGAGCAGCGAGCGACGCUCGCUGAAGCACGUUUGGAAAAAACGCGGUA